rnacentral:rRNA from 1 species
UACGUAGGGUGCGAGCGUUGCCCGGAUUUAUUGGGCGUAAAGAGCUCGUAGGCGGUUUGUCGCGUCUGCUGUGAAAACCUAAGGCUCAACCUUGGGCUUGCAGUGGGUACGGGCAGACUAGAGUGCGGUAGGGGGUGACUGGAAUUCCUGGUGUAGCGGUGGAAUGCGCAGACUAUCAGGAGGAACACCGAUGGCGAAGGCAGGUCACUGGGCCGCAACUGACGCGUGAGGAGCGGAAAGCGUCGGGG